GGGGGCACGUUGUUCGGAAUAUUGGGGCGUAAGAGCUCGUAGGCGGUUUGUCGCGUCUGCUGUGAAAGCCCGGGGCUCAACCCCGGGUCUGCAGUGGGUACGGGCAGACUAGAGUGCAGUAGGGGAGACUGGAAUUCCUGGUGUAGCGGUGAAAUGCGCAGAUAUCAGGAGGAACACCGAUGGCGAAGGCAGGUCUCUGGGCUGUUACUGACGCUGAGGAGCGAAAGCAUGGGGAGCGAACAGGAUUAGAUACCCUGGUAGUCCAUGCCGUAAACGUUGGGCACUAGGUGUGGGGGACAUUCCACGUUCUCCGCGCCGUAGCUAACGCAUUAAGUGCCCCGCCUGGGGAGUACGGCCGCAAGGCUAAAACUCAAAGGAAUUGACGGGGGCCCGCACAAGCGGCGGAGCAUGCGGAUUAAUUCGAUGCAACGCGAAGAACCUUACCAAGGCUUGACAUUCACCGGACCGCACUGGAGACAGUGUUUCCCUUCGGGGUCGGUGGACAGGUGGUGCAUGGUUGUCGUCAGCUCGUGUCGUGAGAUGUUGGGUUAAGUCCCGCAACGAGCGCAACCCUCGUUCUAUGUUGCCAGCACGUGAUGGUGGGGACUCAUAGGAGACUGCCGGGGUCAACUCGGAGGAAGGUGGGGAUGACGUCAAAUCAUCAUGCCCCUUAUGUCUUGGGCUUCACGCAUGCUACAAUGGCCGGUACAAAGGGUUGCGAUACUGUGAGGUGGAGCUAAUCCCAAAAAGCCGGUCUCAGUUCGGAUUGAGGUCUGCAACUCGACCUCAUGAAGUCGGAGUCGCUAGUAAUCGCAGAUCAGCAACGCUGCGGUGAAUACGUUCCCGGGCCUUGUACACACCGCCCGUCAAGUCACGAAAGUUGGUAACACCCGAAGCCGGUGGCCUAACCCCUUUGUGGGAGGGAGCCGUCGAAGGUGGGACUGGCGAUUGGGACAAUCU
rnacentral:rRNA from 1 species